GUGCAUCCUACUUCAAAUAGCGAACUUGAACCUAUUGUAGCCAACAUACACAACAAGGAUUCGAAUGGCUAGAGACCAAAGGAACGUAUAGUCAAACUCAGUAGUCUCGCUGUGAAUAGCUGAUCACACCAUAGGCCAAAGGACCACUUAUACCACUGCAGUAUUGAGAAGAUCACUGACGAGUGAGUAGACAUUCAAGUAAUUUCUCAUAUUAGUCAUGUUCAGUAUAAGUUAUUUUCUAACAACCAUCCGC
rnacentral:lncRNA from 1 species